UAUUAGUAUCCUAUGGAGUAUGAGUCAACAAGUUUUAUGAAAUAAAUUCAACUAAAUUUUGAGAUUCUUACAAAUCUUGAAACACUUGAUUCCAUAUGUUAAAUCAGUCAGCAAAGGAAUUGUGAUGUGAGGAUAUCGAUGAGAGAAAAGAAGGGCAAGCAGGAAAUAGCCAGUUGUUGCAGGGACUUCCUCUUUCAAUGGCCCUACUGCACCUCAACCCUGCCCAUCCAUGGGAGUUUUCAGGGUGAUAAUUGUUCAGAUGGCUUCCUGCUUAUUUAAUUACUUCAAUUAAGGAGGAUUCUCUGAGACAAGUUUCCUCUGGCUUUGGAUCUUUGUGUUGUCAUUGGGGCCUCAUUGAUUGUUGCUUGAGGGCCAAGCUGUAUCUGUGCC